AUUGAACGCUGGCGGCAGGCUUAACACAUGCAAGUCGAGCGAGCGGCGGACGGGUGAGUAAUGUCUGGGAAACUGCCUGAUGGAGGGGGAUAACUACUGGAAACGGUAGCUAAUACCGCAUACCCUCAGAUGUGCCCAGAUGGGAUUCGCUAGUAGGUGGGGUAAUGGCUCACCUAGGCUACGCUCCCUAGCUGGUCUGAGAGGAUGACCAGCCACACUGGACCUGAGAGGCGGUCCAUACUCCUACGGGAGGCAGCAGGGGGGAAUAUUGCACAAUGGGCGCAAGCCUGAUGCAGCCAUGCCGCGUGGGGGAAGAAGGCCUUCGGGUUGGAAGGCACUUUCAGCGAGGAGGCGUUACUCGCAGAAGAAGCACCGGCUAACUCCGUGCCAGCAGCCGCGGUAAUUC
rnacentral:rRNA from 1 species